rnacentral:rRNA from 1 species
CACGCCGUAACGAUGGGUACUAGGCGUCGGGGGGAGCGACCCUCCCGGUGCCGUCGCUAACGCAGUAAGUACCCCGCCUGGGGAGUACGGCCGCAAGGCUGAAACUCAAAGGAAUUGACGGGGGCCCGCACAAGCGGUGGAGCAUGUGGUUCAAUUCGAUGCAACGCGAAGAACCUUACCUGGGCUUGACAUGCUGGUGAAAGCCGGUGGAAACAUCGGCCCCUCUUCGGAGCGCCAGCACAGGUGCUGCAUGGCUGUCGUCAGCUCGUGUCGUGAGAUGUUGGGUUA